CCCGACCGAGUCUAUCGAGGUUCCUCCAGGAUCCAUAGAGGCUCUUUCGGUGCACCCCGCACCUACCAGGAAUUCCGACCGUCACCCUUCUUCCCGUCCAGGGGACGUCCAUGGACUACUCUGGGAAACCGUAGACAAUCUACGUACAGGCGCCCUUACGGUAAGUACAAUAUCUCUCCCUCCUUCACACCUACACAUAGGGGGCAGACUAUCAAGGUUUGCACAUGCUUGGGAC